rnacentral:ncRNA from 1 species
AAUCAAGAGUUCCGGCAUCAAGCCCUGGCUUGCCGGACGGCAACCCUCCGGCUGUAGUGGGGUGCCCCAGGUGAGGAUUCGACGGCGCGCGGGCCCCCGGCGCCGUAAGUAUGGCGC